CAAAACCAUAGCACCAUAUCACAACCAGAUAUUGACACUGAUACAGUCAAAAUGCAGAACAUUCCAUCACCACAAGAAUGUCAUAUAGUCACACCCACAUGAGCCUCCUUUUCCUACUCCCCCAUAAACACUGGCAACCACCAACCCAUUUUCCGUUUACAUAAUUUUGUUUUUCAAGAAUGUUUUAUAAGUGAAGUCAUGAAGUAUGCAAUAUUUGGGGUUUUUUUUUUUUUUUAUCUAGAGCAAUUCCCUGGAGUUUCAUUCAACUUGUUGCAUGCAUCGAUACUUUGUUCCUUUUUAUUUCCAUUGUACGGACAUAGCACAGAUUAUUUUAAUCAUUCGCUCACUGAAGAACAUCUGAGUUCAUCCCAGUUUUUGACGAUGAAGAAUAAAGCUACUGGAAACAUUUAUGUGAAGACUUUUGGCAACAUGCAUGCAGAUGUGUUUCGAAUUGGCACUGAAAAUUAACCAUCACCUGUGUUGAUACAUGCUACAGUAUGGAUGAACCUUGAAGAUAUUAUGCUGAUUAAAAGAAGCCAGACACAAAAGGUAACAUAUUGGAUGAUUCCAUUUAUUUGAAAUAUACAGAAGAGGCAAAUCCAUAGAUACAGAAAGCAAACUAGUGAUUGCUAAGGAAAUGGAGAGUGACUGCUCACAGGUACCAAGCUUUGUUUGGAAGACAUGAAAGUGUUCUGGAACUAGAUGGUGGUGAUAUUUGCACAGCAUAUGAACGUAUUAAAGACCACUAAAUUGUACACUUUAAAAUGGUCAAAACCAUAAUGCAGCACCAGUUCACACCCCUUAGUAUGGCUAUUACGAAAUAAAAAACAACAAAAUAACAAAUGUUAGUGAGGAUGUGAAGACAUUGAAACCCUUGCGCAUUGCUGGUAGGAAUGUGAAAUGCUGCAGAGGCUAUAGAUAACAGUGUAUUUUCCACACACCUCAAAAAAUUGAAGAUAGAAUUACCUAUGACCCAGCAAUUCCAUUUCUUGUUAUAUAUUCAAAAGAAGUGAAAUCAGAUGCUGAAAUAGAUAUGCGUAUACCCAUUUCGUAGCAGCAUCACUCAUAAGAGCCAAAAGGUGGAAGCAACUCAAGUGUCUAUUGACAAAUGAAUGGAUAAACAAAAUGUGGUAUAUGUGUGUAUAUAUAUAAUGCCCCAGUCUCUCUUUACUGAAAACUGUCAGGCCUUCUUGCUCUCCUUCCCAACCCUUUCAGCUGGCCAGAAUCAAAGUGCAGGUCCCUUCCCACGGAACUCUAGAAAUUAUGUCCUAGUCGGUUGCUUUGGUUUCCGUUUUUUCUAUUUCCAAUUCUUCCUGAAUACCACAAUAGUAAGAGCUAACAUUGAUGAAGCACUUACAGCUGACGGGACUGUUCUAUGAGCUUCCAAUGUAUCAUCUCGGUCCUCUCAACAGCCCUUUGACGUAGAUGUUUUUAUUCAUUUUAUGGUACAUAUGACUGUACGGAGGCACACAGAAUUUUAGUAAAUUGCUCAAGCUCAAGCUCACAAGUAUAGUAAGAGGCAAGGCUGGGAUUUAAAUCUAAACCGUCCAGUGCUCCUGACCAUGAAACAUUGAACAUUAGCCUUCUUUUAGUUUGACUUUCUUCAGGCCUGUCUUCUACUGAAAAACCCUCCAUGGCUACCUACUGCCUGCAGAUGUCUACCGUGAAACACUGUUUAGCCUUAAAAAGGAAGCUAAACACACACUACAACAUGGAAGAACUUCGAAGAUGUUAUGCUAAGUAACAAAGACAGAUAUUGUAUGAUUCCACUUCUAUUAGGUACCUGGAAUAAGACCAGUCAUAGAGACAGAAAGAAUGGGGUUUCCAGGAGCUUGUGGAAGGGAGAAACAGGAAGUUAGGAAUUAAUGGGUGUACGGUUUCACCUGGGGAAGAUGAAAAGGUCUGAAAAUGGAUGGUGGUAAUGGUUGCACAAUGAAUGAGAAUUAACUUAAUGCCACAAAACGGUAUGCCUAAAAAUGGUUACAACGGCAAAUUUGACGCUACGUGUAUUUUACCACAAUCAAAAGAUGUUUAAAAUGUUGAAUUUUAUGUUAUGUGUAUUUUACACCUCCCACCAAAAAAACGAGAAGUGACAUGAGACAUUGUUGAGCAAUGCUUGUCUUUGAAAAGCAGUGUCUCAGAGAGCAAGAAGCACCUGGGGAUGUCCAGACAAUUUGGUGUUCAAGUCUUGGCUCUCUAUUCAUCUACAUCAGCAAGUCAGGUAUAGUUUCACGGACUCAGUGCCAUCAUCUGUAAAAUAUGGAUAUGGCCUGUCUGUGCACCUCAGGCCAGCCAUGAGCCACCCAUCAUAAAAGGCAAUGAUGACAGCUAUGUCUGCUGUGGAUGAUCAUUGCCAUCAUGAUCGUCACAGCGUCGCUGUCACCAUCAUCUUUGCCACGGCGGUGCUGUCCCCACUGUGAAUCCCUUCAAGUGAUACAGUAUGACAUCACACGAGUGUCAGGCGAGACACUCUACAGCAGCUCACGAUGUAUUCAGCGCACACAUUCUGAGUGCCUCCUCUCCACUAGACACAUGAUGGGUAGAGUCUAGUUUGAGGAAGACAGAUGUUAAAAAAAAAAAAGUGGCUAAAUUGCUGAGAUGAGUGGAUGUGACAUUAUGAGGGCAAAACAAAAAGAACUAUCCAUUUUUUUCAGGCACCAGGGGAUUUCAGAAAAGGACAAUGUUGAUGUGAGCUAGGGUUGUCAAAGGCGAUUUCAAGAAGGUAGAAAGGAAACUGUGCCCAGCGGGAGAGAGGAGAGGAAGCAAACUAGGUAAUGAGGGCCCUGGCUUCAGGGAGGGAUUCAGAUGGGGCACAUGGACACAGGCUAGGAGCGGAUGGCCGGCCCAGGUGUGGAGAGCCAACAAGGCCACGAGACAUCCGCAGGCAACAGGGAGCCAUGGAAGGUUCUCCAGCAGAAGACAGGCCUGAAGAAAGUCAAACCGGAGGAAGGCUAAAGUUAAAUGUUUCAUGAACCAGAGCACUGGACUGUUCCGAUUUGAAUCCUAGCUCUGCCUCUUACUAUACUUGUGAGCUUGGGCAAUUGACUAAAAUUCUGUGUGCCUCCGUACAGUCAUAGGUACCAUAAAAUGAAUAAAAGCAUCUACGUCAAAGGGCUGUUGAGAGGACCGAGAUGAUACAUUGGAAGCUCAUAGAACAGUCCCGUCAGCUGUAAGUGCUUCAUCAAUGUUAGCUGUUAUUAUUGUGGUAUUCAGGAAGAAUUGGAAAGAGAAAAAACGGAAACCAAAGCAAAC
ensembl:lncRNA